UACAGAGGGGGCAAGCGUUAUUCGGAAUUAUUGGGCGUAAAGGGCGCGUAGGCGGCUUGGCAAGUGGAUGGUGAAAUCCCUCGGCUUAACCGAGGAACUGCCGUCCAAACUGCUUAGCUUGAGACCGGGAGAGGUGAGUGGAAUUCCCAGUGUAGCGGUGAAAUGCGUAGAUAUUGGGAGGAACACCAGUGGCGAAGGCGGCUCUCUGGGACGGUACUGACGCUGAGACGCGAAAGCGUGGGGAGCGAACAGG
rnacentral:rRNA from 1 species